UACAGUAUGAGGUAAGUAUCAUCUAACAAUUGCAGAUAUAGUAAUAACAAACUAUAUCAAUGCUAUAACAAUGCUGUGUUAAUAUUAUAUCAAUGAUAAAUCCAUUUUCAGUCCACAAGAGUGAACGACGCAUACUACGAAGUCAACUGGCUGAAGAUGUCCACCCACGACCAAAAAUUGCUGCUAUAUUGCAUGGGUAAUGGACGCAUAACACUGAGUCUUACAGCCGGCAAAUUUUACGUGUUCUCCCUAUUCGGUUUUAUCAGUGUGAGUAAAUCUCCUUCACCGCAAUAACUAAAAAAAUAAUAUUACCAACUUUGUCGAACAGAUUAUGAAAACUUGCUUCGGAUUUGUUUCUCUGUUACGUGCCUUGAUUUGAUCUCCGAAUGCUACUUGCAGCUCGAAGUAUCAUCAGGAAUACGGAAGGACGUUGUUCAUUCGAACUCGGUUAACAUAUGCAUUUGUAUGUACCUGGAGUUUAUGUUCUAUGAAUGAUAUUGUAUAUUUCAUAUUGUAGAAACGUGUCAAUGUUUGUAUAUGUACAUUGAAAUCUAGUGUAAAGAUUGUUAAUGCUGGAUAUAAAUAUAUGUAUAUAAAAAGUGCGUUUUAUUAUACGAAUUGAUGUAUUGUAUGCACGUGUUGUAUCUAUGUUAGUAUGUAGAAAUAAUAAGUUUAAUAUGGGAGAAGUGUUUGUUGAAUUCAUUCUUGCACUUGCAAUUCUUAGGAGUUGAGAUAUCUAAAUUCCAAUGCUUCAAUUUGACGAGGUAUCUAAAUUCCAAUGCUUCAAUUUGACAUUCCGAAGUUUGACAUUCUCAAUGUUCCAAACUAAUUUCAUUUUCACAUUUCUACGCAUCAGCAGUUGAUAAUUUGCACAACUCUCAUUUUCUUGCGAACUGUUAAUUUUACGCAACGUCAUCACAAGCACCGUGCACAUUCUAGCGAAAGGUUAAACUCGUUUGCAAACGAUUCGAUCACAAUCACUUGCACUACGUCGCUCAAUCCAUCAAAGAAUGAACACGCUAUUCCACCGCGCCAGGUCUUCCAGAGAACUUUAUCUCUCCCAAUAAAUAUUUUACAUCAACCACUGUUCUCUCCUCGUUUUCCUCAAACUAUAAAGUAUCGGAAAACCACCGUUGAUUGCUUCGCUACGCUCCAUGCGAGUGAUUUCAGCGUUUAAAAUUCUGUCAUUAAUUCGACGAUCAAAUCGCAAGAAAAUGAUUUGAAUUUCCAAAAGCACUUAUUAUUCGCGAUGAUUGCGAAUGGAAACUUAGCCGAAGUUAUAGAGCGGUAAUUGGAGAAAAUUGCUGGGCAAUAUGCAUCAUGGAUGCGCGAGAAGUUUCGAAAGCGAUUAUAAUUUUAUCGAUUUUGCGUAUAAAAUACGGCCUGCGGAAAAUCACCGGCGACCGACCGUGAUUCCAUCCUGAGUCGUGAUGAGGGAUCAAGAGACUCAAAUAAAGGACGUGCUCAUUCUGAACGAGCGUGUCUUCUGGAUAUGCGACGCCUGGCCAUUGAACAAUUCCUACAAGAAGUUCGUGAUGUACAUGUCCUAUCUCUCAGUUCACAUGGUGAUCAUGUACAUGGACCUGUACGACGUGAUGGGCGACUUAGAACUCAUGGUGGAGAACAUUAUAGACAACACGAUCGCCACGACUACAUAUUUGAUGCUGUUUCUAUUUCGAUUCAGCAAGUUGAUCAAGAACGUGGUCGCUAUGGUGAAACGAGAGCUCGCGGAGAAUGAUUUUCGAAACAACGACGAGAAACAACUGUAUCUGUCUUAUAAUAUCAUCUCUGACAAUUUCGGCAAAUAUGCAGUGAGAACCACCGCAGUUAUAGCGGUGAUGUGGUACAUUACUCCCAUGUUAGAAUUGUUGCAAGGCUCAGGAAACGAUAAUUCAACGAUGUACCGGUUACCGUUUCGAGUUCAUUCUUUUCUCGAUUACGAGGAUAACUUGAAGAACUACAUGCUGAUGUACGCGUACCAAAUGCCUCUGAUGUUUAUAGCAUUGUUGCAUAUAAGCAGCAUUAGUCUGCUGCUAAGCUUGGUGUUACACGUGUGUGGUAAAUUUUCGAUUCUGUCGUAUCGCAUACAAAAUAUCGCGGAGGAUUCGAAGAACUCUUUUCAGCGGAGAGUUAAGGAGUUGGUGGAAAGACACGUGGAGUUAAUAAUGACCGCAAACACCCUAAACUCAGCGCUGCAAUACAUACUCGCGAUGGAACUCAUACAAACAAGCAUCAGAAUGGCCGUCUUGAUGUACACGAUUCUGCUGGUACGUCCACAACAAUUAACUAACGCUUUCUCAAAUUAAAAACUUUCAAAGAACUUAAAGGGCUUGAUGUCAGUUAGAGCAAUGGUGGCGAACCUAUGACGUGCACAAAAUUUGGCACCUCAAUGAUGUACACUACAGAUAAGAAUUAAGUAACCGAUACAAGUUUGCAGCGCACCAGAGAUAUAAUUACAGUAGAUAAGCUGUUACUAACUGCCCGAAGAUUUGGUAAAAUCGAUUUCAAUUCUAGAAGAUGAAGAUAGCACAAAUUUUAUUAAUACUUUGUUUGUAUCAAGAUUUGUAACGACACUAUUCUGUAACAAUUCAUUUUUCCUUCAUUUUUUAUUAUAAUCAUCAACAUAAUAAAUAUUUGUACUUUAUUAUAUCGUUGUUUUUAAGUUACAUUGGAAUCUCUGUAAACCCGGUAAUAAAAAUCGUUGUAGUUCAGAAAGGUAUGAUUUACAAUCUUGAGAAGAUCUUUAAUAAAAAAGAACAGCUGUAAUAAUGAAUGCAGUGUUACAUUGUCUAACAUUUACCCUCAAAAAGUUCGCCACCAUUGAACUACUCAAAUAAUUACAGUGGCAAUGUAUAUAAAAAAAUUCCAAAUUUUUCAGUACGGAUUAGUGAAUUUAUACUUUCGUUUGUAGAGUGACGAUGUAGUGGAUAUAUUCACGUACGGUUUGUAUGUCACGAUAGUCACCUUGAUGCUGUAUCUGUACUCAUACAUAGGUGAACGAUUACAGAUCGAGGUAAGUCCUCUCGUCUAAACUACGCCAAUAAAAGUAUCAAUAUAUUUCUGUUUAGUCCAAAAAAGUGAACGACGCGUACUACGACGCUAACUGGCUGAAACUAUCGAUCUACGACCAGAAAUUGUUGCUAUACU
rnacentral:misc_RNA from 1 species